GAGUUUGAUCCUGGCUCAGGACGAACGCUGGCGGCGUGCCUAAUACAUGCAAGUCGAACGCGAUCGGGCUUCGGCCCAUAUGAUCGAGUGGCGAACGGGUGCGUAACACGUGAGAAACCUGCCCUGGAGUACGGAAUAACCACGGGAAACUGUGGCUAAUACCGCAUACCUUCACCGGUCCGCAUGGUCUGGUGAAGAAAGCUUUUGCGCUCUGGGAGGGUCUCGCGGCCUAUCAGCUUGUUGGUGAGGUAACGGCUCACCAAGGCCACGACGGGUAGCUGGUCUGAGAGGACGAUCAGCCACACUGGGACUGAGACACGGCCCAGACUUCUACGGGAGGCAGCAGUAGGGAAUCUUGCGCAAUGGGCGAAAGCCUGACGCAGCAACGCCGCGUGGGGGAUGACGGCUUUCGGGUUGUAAACCCCUUUCAGCAGGGACGAAACUGACGGUACCUGCAGAAGAAGCCCCGGCCAACUACGUGCCAGCAGCCGCGGUAACACGUAGGGGGCAAGCGUUGUCCGGAAUUAUUGGGCGUAAAGAGCUCGUAGGUGGUUCGGUAAGUCAGGUGUGAAAGGCUGGGGCUCAACCCUAGGACCGCACCUGAUACUGCUGUGACUCGAGUCCGGUAGAGGAGUGUGGAAUUCCUGGUGUAGCGGUGAAAUGCGCAGAUAUCAGGAGGAACACCAGCGGCGAAGGCGGCACUCUGGGCCGGUACUGACACUGAGGAGCGAAAGCGUGGGGAGCAAACAGGAUUAGAUACCCUGGUAGUC
rnacentral:rRNA from 1 species